rnacentral:sRNA from 1 species
CAGAUUAUUCUCGCCAUUCACUGAAUGGUGGGUCGGAUAUCUGUUGUCCAAGCAAAGAAACCCGCCUUGAGGCGGGUUUU